GCCGCGCGCUCUUGAAUUCCGCCGGGUCGACCAUCGCUUCCCUGAGCAUCAUCACGCCAUAGCGUGUCGCCGCCAUGAGGUCGUCGCGCAGCUUCACCACCUGGCCGUCCUUGCGGUGGUAGACGGGUAGCGCAUCGACCCAGCGGCCACCACUCUUGAUGACGUGGAUAAUGCCGCUGAUCACCCUGCGGUCAUCAACGCGCGGCCUGCC
rnacentral:misc_RNA from 1 species